UACAGAGGGUGCGAGCGUUAAUCGGAAUUACUGGGCGUAAAGCGCGCGUAGGCGGCUUUGCAAGUCGGGUGUGAAAUCCCCAGGCUUAACCUGGGAACUGCAUUCGAGACUGCAUUGCUAGAGUAUGGGAGAGGGAAGUGGAAUUUCCGGUGUAGCGGUGAAAUGCGUAGAGAUCGGGAAGAACAUCGGUGGCGAAGGCGACUUACUGGACACAUAUUGACGCUGAGGUGCGAAAGCGUGGGGAGCAAACAGG
rnacentral:rRNA from 1 species